CCCUUAGAUGUCCGGGGCCGCACGCGCGCUACAAUUGAUGUAUCAACAAGUUACAGGUGCCGAAAGGCUCAUGAAACCUGCUGAAACACAUCAUUGACCGGGAUCGUGGAUCGAAAAAUCCACGUAAACGAGGAAUUCCUAGUAGGUGUACGUCAUCAGCGUGUACUGAUUACGUCCCUGCCCUUUGUACACACCGCCCGUCGCUACUACCGAUUGAAUGGUUCAGUGAGGUUGUCGGAUUCGUGUUUAUUACAUGGCAACAUGACGUAGACAUGAAGAAGAUGACCGAACUUGAUCAUUUAGAGGAAGUAAAAGUCGUAACA
rnacentral:rRNA from 1 species